rnacentral:rRNA from 1 species
CAACAGGGAUUGCCCUAGUAACGGCGAGUGAAGCGGCAACAGCUCAAAUUUGAAAUCUGGCUCUUUCAGAGUCCGAGUUGUAAUUUGCAGAGGGCGCUUUGGCUUUGGCAGCGGUCCAAGUUCCUUGGAACAGGACGUCACAGAGGGUGAGAAUCCCGUACGUGGUCGCUAGCUAUUGCCGUGUAAAGCCCCUUCGACGAGUCGAGUUGUUUGGGAAUGCAGCUCUAAAUGGGAGGUAAAUUUCUUCUAAAGCUAAAUAUUGGCCAGAGACCGAUAGCGCACAAGUAGAGUGAUCGAAAGAUGAAAAGCACUUUGGAAAGAGAGUCAAACAGCACGUGAAAUUGUUGAAAGGGAAGCGCUUGCAGCCAGACUUGCUUGCAGUUGCUCAUCCGGGCUUUUGCCCGGUGCACUCUUCUGCAGGCAGGCCAGCAUCAGUUUGGGCGGUGGGAUAAAGGUCUCUGUCAUGUACCUCUCUUCGGGGAGGCCUUAUAGGGGAGGCGACAUACCACCAGCCUAGACUGAGGUCCGCGCAUCUGCUAGGAUGCUGGCGUAAUGGCUGUAAGCGGCCCGUCUUGAAACACGGACCAAGGAGUCUAACAUCUAUGCGAGUGUUUGGGUGUCAAGCCCGAGCGCGUAAUGAAAGUGAACGGAGGUGGGAACCCGCAAGGGUGCACCAUCGACCGAUCCUGAAGUUUACGGAAGGAUUUGAGUAAGAGCAUGGCUGUUGGGACCCGAAAGAUGGUGAACUAUGCUUGAAUAGGGUGAAGCCAGAGGAAACUCUGGUGGAGGCUCGCAGCGGUUCUGACGUGCAAAUCGAUCGUCAAAUUUGGGCAUAGGGGCGAAAGACUAAUCGA